GAGGCUCGCUGCUCAGGCUAUUUGUGCAGUUACGGUUUAACUAUGCUACUACCAAACCAAGACCUGUUACCUCAGGUCUGAUCCCGUUCAGUCUUUGCCGUCUCGGUUUACUUUGAGCGAAGAUAGCUUGGACAAAUCCCGCUCCACUUUCUGCCGUUCCUUUCUGUUUUCCUCACCUGCGCGCGUCUCUCGAUCCUGCCCGUCGCUCCCCGAUCUUCAACCCCUCCGCCUCUGACGCGCGUGGCUGCCAUCGUCCUCCAGUUCAUUCUCAUCGCGAUAUCUCAUCCGUGCUGUCUCCACUCCGUCCACAGUAUUUGGGCAUUAGGGUUUGAGGUAUGAGAUUUGGGCAUUUAGGGUCGAGGUAUGAGGUUGUUUGCAUCCAGGGAUUAGUUAAAUCCCACUGACCUUCGCAAUUUCUGGAUGUGCCGGUGCACACCCACCCAGCACACCAUCUAGAUCCGCCCUCUAGAACAAUCUAGGCUGCGGCAACUAUGCAAUGUCGAUUAAUUUUCUUGUGUUUUCUCGGAGUUUAGUGAACUGUGGACACAGUGACAGUGUGUCAGUGAGCUUCAGUUCCGGAAUCCAAAGGAUCGUGCUGGAGAGCGACUCCCAGGUGCUAACCAAGAUGUGGCAGGAAGAUAACUUCUCUCGUUCCCAAGUGGCUUCAAUUCUUGGUGAAAUCAAGGAGAUUUGUAGGGUUUUUACUUGUUUUUCGCAAUCUGUCCACAGAACUGCUAAUGUAGCAGCUCAUUUGUGUGCAAAACAUGGGGCUAAUGCUAAACAGGGGACCUCGCUGGCUGAGCUCCUUCCCAAGCUAUAUCUGUAACUGUCUGCAUCAUGACCGUAAUCCUACUGAAUUGGAAUGGAAGAUCUCCUUUAUCCAAAAAAGAGACUCAGUGAGCCAGUAACCCUGUAACUCAUUAGAUUUACUAUAAAAAUUGUAAAGAUUGAGAUCUUUGUAUUAUUUCUCCCAGUCAUCGUUAUCAUGUCUGCUGCCUGUAAUUAUUGCUCACUGAAACCAAUUUUGUUUUGCAGUGCAGACCACUAGUUCCUGGUGUGCACGCGCAAUGGAAAUUAUCAUCGUUAUCUCACUUCUUUUGCUCCUUGUGCUGGGGACACUCUUUGUUAUCCCACGAUCCAACAUCAAAGAUGUCUGAUGCUUUAGAGUGGUGAUCAAAAGACAGGAUUGUUCAGGUUAAUCCAAAAUUCGAGGCCAACUCAUUAUGUGCUUACUGCUGCUUCAAAUUCAGACAUCUAGGAGCUAUUCAAAGAAAGAGGUAUCAACUCACAACACAAGAAAAGAUUGUUGGAUCAUAAUCAAGAAAAAGGUAUAUGAUGUAACUCCAUAUGUGGAGGAGCAUCCAGGUGGUAAUGCCAUUCUAAACAAUGCUGGCAGAGUGGCAGUAAUUCAACAGAGGGAUUUUUUGGGUUUGUAACGUCUCAUUUAUACAUAUUACAUCAUUAUGUCAAUACUUUUCUAACCCCAACAUGGCACGAGAGUCUUCGGUAUAAUUGAGGAUUUCUGCAUUGGCAAAUUGAGAGACUGAUGAUAAAGAGGAGGGCUUGUAGAAGAUCCAAAUGUGAACCCAUGCGUUCUUCUGCAGUUUCCUGAAAAUGACGCCAAGGAGUGAAACCGUGUUCUAAUUGUGAUGAGGACUGCUCCCAGGCCUCAGCUGUGUGGUUUUGAUGCUAUCUUUGACCUGGUGCUUUUACUGGUAGCAGUGUCUGGACCGUGGACUAUUUAUGUGUCCUGAAUGUUUUCCUAGAAUUAUCUGAAGAUAUCUUGCCUUAGAUUUAUGGAACUUUCUGAGAGCGGACAACGAAUUGUGCCAACUUCCUUCUGAAUUUCAAUCAUGAUGAUGAAAAGGUUUACUUGGUCAA